rnacentral:rRNA from 1 species
AUUGAACGCUGGCGGCAGGCCUAACACAUGCAAGUCGAGCGAGCGGCGGACGGGUGAGUAAUGUAUGGGGACUGCCCGAUAGAGGGGGAUAACUACUGGAAACGGUUGCUCAUAUCGCACACUGUCGGAUAACCCAUAUGGGAUUAGCUAGUAGGUAAGGUAAUGGCUUACCUAGGCGACGAUCCCUAGCUGGUCUGAGAGGAUGAGCAGCCACACUGGGACUGAGACACGGCCCAGACUCCUACGGAGGCAGCAGUGGGGAAUAUUGCACAAUGGGGGCAAGCCUGAUGCAGCCAUGCCGCGUGUAUGAAGAAGGCCCUAGGGUUGUAAAGUACUUUCAGUCGGGAGGCGUUACCGACAGAAGAAGCACCGGCUAACUCCGUGCCAGCAGCCGCGGUAAUUC